rnacentral:rRNA from 1 species
UUAAAGUAGUAAGGGCGCAGGGUGGAUGCCUUGGCACUAAGAGCCGAUGAAAGACGUGAUAAGCUGCGAAAAGCUUCGGGGAGGAGCACAUAUCCAAUGAUCCGGAGAUAUCUGAAUGGGGAAACCCGGCAGAGGAAACCUCUGUCAGCAUGUAGUGAAUCCAUAGCUGCAUGUGGGGAACCCGGGGAACUGAAACAUCUAAGUACCCGGAGGAAGAGAAAGAAAAUUUAUCGAUUUCCAAAGUAGCGGCGAGCGAAAUGGAAGGAGCCCAAACCGUGGUGCGUGCAUCACGGGGUUCGGACUGCGACAUGAGAGACGUAAGAUAGGAGAACGGACUGGGAAGUCCGGCCGGAGAGAGUGAAAGCCUCGUAUCCGAAAUCCCAAGUCAUCUAGCAGGAUCCAGAGUAGGACGAGACACGAGAAACCUUGUCUGAAGGAGCGGGGACCACCCCGUAAGGCUAAAUACUUCUUAGUGACCGAUAGCGCAUAGUACUGUGAAGGAAAGGUGAAAAGUACCCCGGGAGGGGAGUGAAAGAGAACCUGAAACCCUGUGUCUACAAGCUGUGGGACCUCUUUAUAUGAGGGACUGCGUACUUUUUGUAGAACGGUCCGGCGAGUUGUGCGUACUGGCGAGGUUAAGGACUUAAGGUCCGGAGCCGAAGUGAAAGCAAGCGUUAAGAGCGCGGUAAGUCAGUGAGUGCAGACCCGAAACCGGGUGACCUAUCCAUGUCCAGGUUGAAGCUUCCGUAAGAGGAAGUGGAGGACCGAACCCACAUCCGUUGAAAAGGGUGGGGAUGAGGUGUGGAUAGCGGAGAAAUUCCAAUCGAACCCGGAGAUAGCUGGUUCUCCUCGAAAUAGCUUUAGGGCUAGCCUCAUGAGAGUCUUAUGGAGGUAGAGCACUGAAUUGCCUAGGGGGCGUCAAAGCUUACCAAAGCAUAUCAAACUCCGAAUGCCAUCAAGAUGAUUCAUGGGAGUCAGACCAUACGAGAUAAGUUGGAUGGUCAAAAGGGAAAGAGCCCAGACCUACAGCUAAGGUCCCAAAGUGCGUGUUAAGUGGAAAAGGAUGUGGGGAUUCUAAGACAACUAGGACGUUGGCUUAGAAGCAGCCAUUCAUUGAAAGAGUGCGUAAUAGCUCACUAGUCGAGAGUCCCUGCGCCGAAAAUGUCCGGGGCUGAAACACGACACCGAAGCUUAGGAAUGUGUAAACAUUGGUAGAGGAGCAUUGCUGGCGGGAUGAAGCCAUACCGAAAGGAGUGGUGGACUGCUAGGAAGAGAGAAUGCCGGAAUGAGUAGCGAGAUGAAGGUGAGAAUCCUUCAGGCCGAAUAUCUAAGGUUUCCAGAGUAAAGCUGAUCUGCUCUGGGUAAGUCGGGACCUAAGGCGAGGUCGAAAGACGUAGUCGAUGGAUAACAGGUUGAAAUUCCUGUACCGCAUAUAAACAGAACUGUGGGGACACAGACAGGGAAUGGAAUCCGGGGAUGGAGAACCCGGAGCAAGCGAGGUAGGAGUAUCAUUGGCAAAACCGUGAUACAGAUCUGAAGACGUGAUGCGUACCGAACAUAAGUAGAAUGGCCCAAGCAACUGUUUAGCAAAAACACAGGUCUAUGCAAAACCGCAAGGUGAAGUAUAUGGGCUGACGCCUGCCCGGUGCUGGAAGGUUAAGGGGAGAGGUUAGCGCAAGCGAAGCUUUGAACUUAAGCCCCAGUAAACGGCGGCCGUAACUAUAACGGUCCUAAGGUAGCGAAAUUCCUUGUCGGGUAAGUUCCGACCCGCACGAAAGGCGUAAUGAUUUGGGCACUGUCUCAACGAUACACCCGGUGAAAUUGAAAUACCAGUGAAGAUGCUGGUUACCUGCGCCAGGACGGAAAGACCCCAUGGAGCUUUACUCCAGUUUGAUACUGGGAUUCGGCAUGGUAUGUACAGGAUAGGUGGGAGACUGAGAAGGUAUGACGUCAGUUGUACCGGAGUCGCUGUUGGGAUACCACCCUUACCAUGUUGGAUUUCUAACCUGUGGCCGUGAACCGGUCAGGGGACAAUGUCAGGCGGGGAGUUUGACUGGGGCGGUCGCCUCCGAAAGGGUAUCGGAGGCGCUCAAAGGUUCCCUCAGAAUGGUUGGAAACCAUUCGAAGAGUGCAAAGGCAGAAGGGAGCUUGACUGUGACACCGACGGGUGGAGCAGGUACGAAAGUAGGACUUAGUGAUCCGGUGGUAUAAAGUGGGAUUGCCAUCGCUCAACGGAUAAAAGCUACCCUGGGGAUAACAGGCUUAUCACUCCCAAGAGUUCACAUCGACGGAGUGGUUUGGCACCUCGAUGUCGGCUCAUCGCAUCCUGGAGCUGUAGCAGGUUCCAAGGGUUGGGCUGUUCGCCCAUUAAAGCGGUACGCGAGCUGGGUUCAGAACGUCGUGAGACAGUUCGGUCCCUAUCCGGCGCAGGCGGAGGAAAUUUGAUAGGAGCUGUCCUUAGUACGAGAGGACCGGGAUGGACGGACCGCUGGUGUAUCUGUUGUACUGCCAAGUGCAUCGCAGAGUAGCCAAGUCUGGAAGGGAUAAACGCUGAAGGCAUCUAAGCGUGAAGCCCCCCUAAAGAUAAGAUUUCCCAUACC